UACGUAGGGUGCGAGCGUUGUCCGGAAUUAUUGGGCGUAAAGAGCUUGUAGGUGGUUUGUCGCGUCUGCUGUGAAAAUCCGAGGCUCAACCUCGGACUUGCAGUGGGUACGGGCAGACUAGAGUGUGGUAGGGGAGAUCGGAAUUCCUGGUGUAGCGGUGAAAUGCGCAGAUAUCAGGAGGAACACCGAUGGCGAAGGCAGGUCUCUGGGCAUUAACUGACGCUGAGGAGCGAAAGCAUGGGGAGCGAACAGG
rnacentral:rRNA from 1 species